rnacentral:lncRNA from 1 species
UUAUGAUACUAGUACUAAAUAUAUUUCCAUUGGUAAGACCGGUUUAAGUAUCAUAAAAAAAAAAUUAUUUGCAAAAUCAAAAAUAAAUAUAUAAAAACAUAGGAUUACAAAAGGUAAUAUUACAAUCCAAAAAAAUGUAGAAUAUAAGUAUACUUAAGCAAAAAAAAAACAUAAAAUUCAACAUAAUGAAAUAUAAAGCAGUCCAUUUCCUAGGGUAAGAGAUGAAUGUCAGAUAGAAACUAAAGCAGUCCAAGCAGACUAACAUGGUGAGACGAGACAUCACCACUGAAUCAAUGUAUUGGUUACUUAUGGAAUAAAAAGUUGUGAGUAAAAUGCUAAUAAUAUAACGUG